AAAAAAUAUUUGAAAAACAAAACGAAUAAAAAGUAUAACUUCCAAGAGAAAGGGACGAUACGUGCGAAGAUACUUAACCCUUCGAAGGUGAAAGGGAAGCAAGAGAGCCACAUUUGAAAUUCGAUCUUAUUCGCGACCCUAUACGAAAAAAAA